UACGUAGGGUGCGAGCGUUGUCCGGCAUUAUUGGGCGUAAAGAGCUCGUAGGCGGUUUGUCGCGUCUAUCGUGAAAACUGGAGGCUUAACUUUCAGCGUGCGGUGGAUACGGGCAGACUUGAGUUCGGUAGGGGAGACUGGAAUUCCUGGUGUAGCGGUGAAAUGCGCAGAUAUCAGGAGGAACACCGGUGGCGAAGGCGGGUCUCUGGGCCGAUACUGACGCUGAGGAGCGAAAGCAUGGGGAGCGAACAGG
rnacentral:rRNA from 1 species